CAGAAAUGAACGCAUUUUCCUUGCUAUCAGGAUGCAAAAUUCCACAAGUGAGAGUCAACUUUUGAAGAUAAACCUGUGCCCCAGUACUGUCAGAGCUGUGAAGUGUAUUCCAUUUGGAGCAGGUGUGAGAAAUCAGGGAUUUUUGUGGUGCCAUUUUGCUAACAAAAAGGAGCAUGACUCAAGUCUUCAUUCAUCUCUUCGUCAAAGGCUAAAGGAUGAAAAAACCCCCCAAGAUAUUAAAAGGAUAACAAGCAUACCUGCUAAUAUUUGGAACUUGGAUGCAGGUAUACCAGA